GCGAAAUAGCUCAGUUGGGAGAGCGUUAGACUAUAGAUCGAAAGGUCGCUGGUUCGAUCCUGGGAUUCGGCA
rnacentral:tRNA from 1 species